ACCAGGCAUGGUGGUGCAUGCCUGUAAUCCCAGCAACAUUGGAGGCUGAGGCAGGAGGGUCACAAGUUAGAGACCAGCCUCAGCAACUUGGCAAGACCCUAUGCAACUU
rnacentral:sRNA from 1 species